rnacentral:tRNA from 2 species
GGUCGUUAGCUCAGUUGGUAGAGCAGUUGGCUUUUAACCAAUUGGUCGUAGGUUCGAAUCCUACACGACCCACCA